rnacentral:rRNA from 1 species
CUACGGGCCGCUGCAGUGGGGAAUAUUGGACAAUGGGCGCAAGCCUGAUCCAGCAAUGCCGCGUGAGUGAAGACGGCCUUAGGGUUGUAAAACUCUUUCGCUAGGGAAGAUAAUGACUGUACCUAGUAAAGAAGUCCCGGCUAACUCCGUGCCAGCAGCCGCGGUAAUACGGAGGGGACUAGCGUUGUUCGGAAUUACUGGGCGUAAAGAGUUCGUAGGCGGACUGACAAGUUAGAGGUGAAAUCCCAGGGCUCAACCCUGGAACUGCCUUUAAAACUGUCAGUCUAGAGACCGGAAGAGGUUAGGGGAAUACCUAGUGUAGAGGUGAAAUUCGUAGAUAUUAGGUGGAACACCAGUGGCGAAGGCGCCUAACUGGUCCGGUACUGACGCUGAGGAACGAAUGCGUGGGGAGCAAACAGGAUUAGAUGCCCCUGUAGUC